rnacentral:rRNA from 1 species
CACGUAGGUGGCAAGCGUUGUCCGGAAUUACUGGGUGUAAAGGGAGCGUAGGCGGGACUUUAAGUUGGAUGUGAAAUACCCAGGCUCAACCUGGGAGCUGCAUCCAAAACUGGAGUUCUUGAGUGAGGUAGAGGCAGGCGGAAUUCCUAGUGUAGCGGUGAAAUGCGUAGAUAUUAGGAGGAACACCAGUGGCGAAGGCGGCCUGCUGGGCCUUAACUGACGCUGAGGCUCGAAAGCGUGGGGAGCAAACAGG